AGAGUUUGAUCCUGGCUCAGAACGAACGCUGGCGGCGUGGAUUAGGCAUGCAAGUCGAGCGGGAUUCUUGGAGUUUAUUCUUCGGAUGAGACUCCUUGAUGAGAGCGGCGAAAGGGUGAGUAAUGCAUAGAUAAUCUACCCUCAAGUUGGGGAUAGCCCUUGGAAACGAGGGGUAAUACCGAAUGUGGUUUGUGUCCGCAUGGACACUGUUCUAAAGGUGGGGAUCUUCGGACCUGCCGCUUGAGGAUGAGUUUAUGUGCUAUCAGCUUGUUGGUGAGGUAAUGGCUCACCAAGGCUAAGACGGCUAGCUGGUCUGAGAGGAUGACCAGCCACACUGGGACUGAGACACUGCCCAGACUCCUACGGGAGGCUGCAGUCGAGAAUCAUUCGCAAUGCGCGAAAGCGUGACGAUGCGACGCCGCGUGCAGGAUGAAGGCCUUCGGGUUGUAAACUGCUGUCGCGAGGGAACAAUAUCCAGAUUGUUAAUACCUUUCUGGCUUGAUGGUACCUCAGGAGGAAGCCACGGCUAACUCUGUGCCAGCAGCCGCGGUAAUACAGAGGUGGCGAGCGUUGUUCGGAUUUACUGGGCGUAAAGGGUGCGUAGGCGGUACUGUAUGUUGGAUGUGAAAUCUCACGGCUCACCCGUGAAAUGGCAUUCAAAACUGCAGAACUUGAGUAUAGGAGAGGAGAGCGGAAUUCUUAGUGUAGCGGUGAAAUGCGUAGAUAUUAAGAAGAACGCCGGAAGCGAAGGCGGCUCUCUGGACUAAUACUGACGCUGAGGCACGAAAGCUGGGGGAGCGAACAGGAUUAGAUACCCUGGUAGUCCCAGCCGUAAACGGUGUGCACUUGGUGUGGGGGGAGUUAUCCCCCUCCGUGCCGGAGCUAACGCGUUAAGUGCACCGCCUGGGGAGUACGGCCGCAAGGCUAAAACUCAAAGGAAUUGACGGGGGCCCGCACAAGCGGUGGAGCAUGUGGCUUAAUUCGAUGCAACGCGAAGAACCUUACCCAGGCUUGACAUGCCUGUCGUAUCCUAUCGAAAGACUGGAGUCAGUUCGGCUGGACAGUGCACAGGUGCUGCAUGGCUGUCGUCAGCUCGUGCCGUGAGGUGUUGGGUUAAGUCCCGCAACGAGCGCAACCCUUAUGUUUAGUUGCUAACAGGUUAUGCUGAGCACUUUAGACAGACUGCCCGUAACAAGCGGGAGGAAGGUGGGGAUGACGUCAAGUCAGUAUGGCCCUUAUGCCUGGGGCUGCACACGUGCUACAAUGGGUGGUACAGAGGGAAGCAAGACCGCAAGGUGGAGCAAAUCCUGAAAGCCAUCCUCAGUUCGGAUUGGAGUCUGCAACUCGACUCCAUGAAGCCGGAAUCGCUAGUAAAGGCGUAUCAGCUACGACGCCUUGAAUACGUUCCCGGGCCUUGUACACACCGCCCGUCACAUGUCGGAAGUUGACUGCACCCGAAGUCGCUGAUCUAACCAUUUAUGGAUGAAGGCGCCGAAGGUGUGGUGGGUAACUGACAUGAAGUCGUAACAAGGUA
rnacentral:rRNA from 1 species